GCUCAGAUUGAACGCUGGCGGCAGGCCUAACACAUGCAAGUCGAGCGGAUGACGAGAGCUUGCUCUCUGAUUCAGCGGCGGACGGGUGAGUAAUGCCUAGGAAUCUGCCUGGUAGUGGGGGACAACGUCUCGAAAGGGACGCUAAUACCGCAUACGUCCUACGGGAGAAAGCAGGGGACCUUCGGGCCUUGCGCUAUCAGAUGAGCCUAGGUCGGAUUAGCUAGUUGGUGAGGUAAUGGCUCACCAAGGCGACGAUCCGUAACUGGUCUGAGAGGAUGAUCAGUCACACUGGAACUGAGACACGGUCCAGACUCCUACGGGAGGCAGCAGUGGGGAAUAUUGGACAAUGGGCGAAAGCCUGAUCCAGCCAUGCCGCGUGUGUGAAGAAGGUCUUCGGAUUGUAAAGCACUUUAAGUUGGGAGGAAGGGUUGUAGAUUAAUACUCUGCAAUUUUGACGUUACCGACAGAAUAAGCACCGGCUAACUCUGUGCCAGCAGCCGCGGUAAUACAGAGGGUGCAAGCGUUAAUCGGAAUUACUGGGCGUAAAGCGCGCGUAGGUGGUUUGUUAAGUUGGAUGUGAAAGCCCCGGGCUCAACCUGGGAACUGCAUUCAAAACUGACAAGCUAGAGUAUGGUAGAGGGUGGUGGAAUUUCCUGUGUAGCGGUGAAAUGCGUAGAUAUAGGAAGGAACACCAGUGGCGAAGGCGACCACCUGGACUGAUAC
rnacentral:rRNA from 1 species